AGUUACUUCUUCUGGCCAAAAAAUUCAAAACUAUUGGGCUGAGGUGUCACAGACUGAUACAAAUCAGACAUGACAAAGGGAGACCCUUGAAGACCUUGAUUAUGGACAAGAAAGAGAUCGACAAGAUCAACAAGAUAGCCAGUGAACGAAGAGCAGGCAGGCCAGAAGCAAAAGCUUCCUUCAUCCAUGGAUUUCCGUGAGCUUCCAGCAGAAAGGUGUGCUCCAGACCAGCCGUGGGGUUUCCCAGCUCCAAAGAUCUGGAUUAGAGUUAAGCCCAGCUGGAGCCAGGUUGGCAAGAGGAGCCACGCAGUCCUAGAACACACUGACGAUUCCUUUCACAUGGAAGCAUUCCUGUCUACAGUGUGUCUCACACCUGAUGCCACAAUGUCUACACUUAAUAACUAUGUACCAAAUGAAUUGUGCCUGAAGAGGAGAGGUGCUUCAGAUGGCUAUAAGAAAGUCUCAGUGUAAGGUCCCUGUGACACUUCGCUUUUGACGCCUUUGGUUAAACUCCCAAGAUUAGUAUAGCUGGUAGAUCUCUCUUUAGUGUGCACAGCCUGAGGAGCCGGAAGAGACUCUGUCUGGAAUCUGUUCUCCGCCGCCAUCUUUCUCUGCUCACAGGUCUCUGCAUCUUUGACCUGCUUUUGCUUCUCUGCACAGACAAAGGCAAUCUCAACGUAAGAUUCAUACAAAUCAUACAGAAAUGUGGCAGCAUUGUAGUUUUGCAAAAUUCCUCUGUCUAAAAAGAUUCUUCAAACUCUGAUCAUCUCUUCCCCGAUCAUGAAUUAGAAAUUCAAGUUUUCCACACUUGAGGAAUUUGGGAAGUAGAGUCUGGCUUCUGGGCAUGUGCACUGAAUAUUAUUGUUUUAUUUUUGCUUCUGAAGAGCCAGAUUCAUGAUACAAGGGACCAGGUGUCAUGAGGUCAAGUUCAUACAAGUGCCUACUGUGCACUGAGCAAACUCUUCCCCCAUACCUGCCUUGCUUCCUUGUUCCUGCUCCACCUCCCUAUUUGUCCCCUAUGUUUGCAUAGACAGUCUCACUUGUACAUUCAUAUUGUAAAUAUGUGCAUGAUUUUAUGUACCUAUAUAAAAUCAGAAUCCACAAAGACAUUAUAUUUGUCUUCCUAAGACUGACUUCCCUCACUUAACUAUCUCCAGUUAUAUCCUUUUAUUUUUCAUACAAACAGCAUAACUUUGUUCUUUUUUAUGGCUGGGAAAAUUCUGUGUGUACAAACACGACAUUUUGUUUUUAAUCCACCCCCUCUGCUUAGAGGCUCCUAUGUCAGUUCCAUUGUUUAUCUAUUGUAGACUGUGCUUUCCUGGUUUCCCUUCAGCAAAAUUCCCUAUCCAUCCCCCUCCUCCUGCUUCUAUGAGGGUGCUCCCCCACCUACCCAUACCCUCCUGUCUCACCACCCUAGUAUUCCCUGGACACUGGGGCAUUGAGCCUUCACAGGACCAAGGGCCUCCCCUCCCAUUAAUACUAGAUAAGGCCAUCCUCUGCUACAUAUGCAGCUGAAGCCAUGGAAACUCUUAUAAAGGAAAACAUUUAAUUAGGGUCGACAGUUCAGAAGUUUAGUCCAUUGUCAUCAUGGAGGGAAGCAUGGCAGCAUGCAGGCAGACAUGGUGCUGGAGAGGAGCUGAGAGGUAGAUCUAAUUCUAAAUUGGCAGGCAGCAGAAAGAGAGAGUGACCCUGACUUGAGCAUCUAAGACCUCAAAAGCCCACCCACUGUGACACACUUCUUCAAACAAGGCCACACCUCCAAUAAUGCCACUCCCUGUGAGUCUCUGGGGCCUAUUUUCAUUCAAACCAUUGCACUUCAGGAAGAAUGUUGACCCUGUACAAAUUCAGCAGUCAAUAAAGAAACAAAGUGUGCUCAUUUUGGAGACAUCAAGGAAACAGCUGCAUCUUUCCUCAUGGCUUUCGGUACUUGAAUUUCUACCAGAUGGGAUUUUUUAUUCUAUAGCAGCAGGAUUUCCUAGAGCCACUAAUAGCAGGAAAUCUGAAUUUACAAACACUAAACUAGAAGCAACGUAAAAGUGAUCACCUAUAUUGGUUGGAAGACAUGAAUGAUGAUGGGUGUUUAGACUUCCUAAAAGCUGUAGGGCAUGUCGAAGAGACCUCCUGCAGGUCUUGUUUGCUGGUAUUCCCAUCUUAGAAUGCUUUCUUCUCCAAGUGAGCCAGGGUUAGUAGGUGUGACAAGGGAUAGUGUAGACUUGUCUAUGCUGUCUCCAGACUUUUCGAGUAAGGUACUGACUGGAUUGCUUCAGGAAGCAUUGCAAUGUCCUAUGUAUUCUCGGGGGUCAUCAAUCUAGGGAAGGUUGUAUGUGAGUUGUAUGUGAGUCACUGAGGAAAACCCAUUGAGAGAAAUUGAGGCAGCACCAAUUUGCCAGCCAUGUGAGCCAGCCAUCUUGCAAACAUCCCCUUCUGACUCAAAGUGCUGAGAGAUUCCACAGGACAACUGCCCAUCCAACUUGCUGCCAAAUUCACAGACCACAGACACGAUUAAAAAUGUCAAAUAUUUCUUGUCAAGGCAGUGAGCUUUGGGAUAAUCUGUUACACAGCAAUCAAUAACUAAUGCAAAAGAUGUUGAAAUUCUCAUUCACUCAUUGUUUUUUCACUGUCUGUUCUGGGCAUGGGAUUUGAUUGAUCUCACCACGGAUUCUGAGAAAAGAAGCAGGAUGGAAAGAAACAGACCUUGGGGGCAACAGUGAGGUCAAGCCUCACAAGGGGACUGAGACUUCACUAGGCAUGGAAUUCCCUUCUGGAUGCCUGUGAUAGAAAAACACUCCUUUAGGCAGAGAGUAGAUGAUCAUCUUAACUGAAUGAGAGCUUUUUACAUUUUAAUUCAUACAGCCCACAGGAAGCAUUAGUAUUAUUCCAUUUCAUAAGAAGAAAAUUGGAGCCUGAGCAAGUCUAUGGGUUCAGGCCAUUCUACGUAGAACCUCCCCAGCUUUCAGCUCUGCUUUUCUUCUGUUGGUUCAGACUCAGAUGGGGGGGUUCCUAUGUAGUGGUCAGUACCACCCCUGCUCCCAGUAGCUCAUACUUAACAAUUAAGUGAUCUUCACAGCAAAGUGUUAGCCCUCUGCAAGUAGUUCUAAAAAACAGCCUGGGGACAUUUUCUUGGAUCCACUGGUUUGCUUACCAGCCCGCUCUGCCCAAGCUACAGCCAGACUUCUGUCACAUGUCCAGCCAGGUAUAGGGAGGUGGGGAAACCCCAGAUGAACUUCACAGACUGAGUACAGGAGAGAGUCUUUCUAAAGAAAAUUCCAGGUUUGACCUCCACGGUAAAAAACAUUGGUUAAAAUAAAAUAAAGAUAACUGAUGGCCAACAGCAUUCCUCCCUUUGUGACUGGAGAAGAGGGAGCCUAGUAGGAGAAGGUCAAAAAGAAACUAGCAGAGUCUUGCAGAGUCUUGCAUUUACUUCACUAGCAUUCUCUAAGUGAUGCUUAAUUAGCCUCUUGCUAGGUCUUAUGGAUAAAUGCAAUAGAGCAGUAAUGUGAACUGGCUUGCAACAUUCAAUCAUCAAAACGUCAGGAAAUUCACAACAUGGUUGUUAAAUGCAGCCAUUAUAAAAAUUAAGUGACUUCAUUUUAGAAUAAAAUUAUAUUAAAGUAGCGGCAAUGAGCAUGCAACUCAGGUCACUAAGCAUUUAAGACAAUUUACUUUUACCCAUAUUAUUUAUAGCUAAUGUACAUGGAGGAGACGGAAACUUCACUGAUAUCUUUAUGGAAAUUGGCCAUACUAUGGUGGCCAUAGAAAUGGCCAGAUGUUACCAUUCCAGGCUUGGGUUUAUGUUUUUCUUGAUCAUGUAAGAGAAAGUGAUGCUAUGUAGCAAGUUUUGUUUUUUUCUUUUUUAAUAGCCAUUGCAUUGUAAAUUGUGCAAAACAGUAAUACUGUGAUCCUCCUUUGGUGCUUGCGAAUUUCUGACAUAGAUAAAAGAAUACAUUUUUGAUG
ensembl:lincRNA Gm14015 predicted gene 14015